CGUUUCCCAGCCUACACUGAGCAGGACUGGUUGUCCAGUACUGGACAGACCGUUUCCCAGCCUACACUGAGCAGGACUGGUUGUCCAGUACUGGACAGACCGUUUCCCAGCCUACACUGAGCAGGGCUGGUUGUCCAGUACUGGACAGAAAACGGUUGAAUGUGUUUCAUGAGAACAUUCCUGAAAAACGUACAAGGAUACAAGGAUGCGUAACCGUGGUAACGUCAUGUGAACCUCUUUUUAAAAAAUCUUCAGGAUCCAGGAUUUUGGUUGUUUCUUUGUUGUCUGUGUCUGAAAUAACACCCUAUUUUCCCUAUACAGUGCACUACUUUUCACUAGUCGUGCACUAGUCAGGAAUAGGAUGCCAUUUGGGACACAGAUUCUGUGUCUGUCUUUGGCAGUCUUCAGGGUUUACGAUGAAUUCUUCUGUAACAGUACUGAUUCUGAGAGCUCGACUGUGUUAAAGCUCCUUCUACAUUUGGAAAGUUAGUUUUCUAGUAUUUUCUAAUGUUUUCUUUCAUUCUUUUUCUUUCUUUCUUUUGUUUGUUUGUUGUUGUAACAAAUAAAACUGACAAAAACAAAAUACAUCGUCCAGUAAGGUGUCUGUGGCUAUUGAAAGAAAAGUUAUUCAUGACCUCUUGUUAUUUAUGCUCGGUAAUAAAACGGUAUUAACAAUAAGUUAUUUAGCUACACUUUCUGCUUUACAGAAACGAAAAGACACAGAUACGCUAGCACUACCAGUACACAUGUAGAAAAACGUGUCAAUUAUGGCUCUACACUGGAAAAAACAUUUGCCAAAAGAAGCAUGCCAAAAUAACCUUUGUGACAGUGCAAAUACAUCGAUGUCCCUGGUACAAAACAUUUAGGUUAGCAUUCCGUGAAACAUGCUAGUUCUCCGAAGAGAUCUGAACCAGUCGUAGAGUAGCAGAGUAGCAGCUCUGAGGAGAUAGCUUGUGUCUUUUCUUCUCGGACAAACAUCCUUCUUUAAAAGUACUAGGAGGUAACUACCACUGACACAUACACACAGGAGACAGGAAACAGCUCAGAAACAUGAUGCUUUCUCUCUCCUUUUGCUAGAAAGAGGAGGGGACUGAAGUUGUGGUUGGUUAAAGUAAUAUACAUCGUCACAACUGUCCAACACAUUCAAUAAACAUUGGAGACGGUACAGGUCAGAAGGGUUAAACACCAUCACAUAUACAAAGGAAGAAUAACAAGAAACGUGUCGGUAUGUGGUGUCUGGAGAUGAGGAGAGAGAAAGAGAGUAGAGUGGGUUCAGAGGAGAUGGGCAGGACAGGGAGAGAGUAGAGUGGGUUCAGAGGAGAUGGGCAGGACAGAGAGAGAGUAGAAGUGGGUUCAGAGGAGAUGGGCAGGACAGAGAGAGAG
ensembl:lncRNA